UGGUGAUGGUAUGAGAAAUAUAAAACAGAUUUUAAUUGGCAACAUAUGUAUGGAAGAAUCAACUGUGUUCAGCAAAAUUGUGUGGUCAAUCUCUGAGCAACCAGCGCUGGAUGUUGAGUUUGGAGGGUCAAGUUGUGUGUGAAGGAGCACAGCCCAACUUCAUCACUGGCCUGGCAGCGCUGUUUGCCUCCUUCUAUAAUUUCAAUUUACAGUACCAGGAAGAGGCAGCAUGCACCCUUGAGUUUGUUCAGAGACGCUUUGUUGACAUCAAUCCUGAACGUGGAUCAAAAGCAAAAAAAGGAAAAGUGACUUCAAAGAAAACUGGCCAAGUUGUGCAAAAAAAGAACGCCACUGUAAGCCCACCAGUUUCCUCACUUCUGCGAAAACUUGCAGACUUUGAAUGGAACUUUGUUUAGAUCCUGUCAGCAAGUACAUUAAAAGUAAUUAUGAUUACUGCAUCGUUAAUUCCAUUUAUAAAAUACAACUGCCAUUUCAGCCAUUUUGAGGUUCUAUUCUUUUUUUGACUCUUUACAU